GAUACCCUUGGUUAUCGCGGUAGUGUCCCUUACUUCUUUUACUAAAAUGAGACUGGUGAGGAUGGAAAUCUUUCCUUUUGCCCUGAGAUUGAUAUGUCUGUUGACUUGGCAAAGUAUUAAGUAAGGCAGGGGGAGGCACCGCUGCUGUUUGGAAGGUCGAGGUCUUCUCAUUUGGUUGGAUCUAGCUUCCACUCUCUACUUGCUGAUAAGGGGUGGUUUCCUUUGAUAUGUCCUUGCCUCAGCGGAGGCAUGGUUGUAAGCAUGUGAGUAAGUCUUCCAAGUGUUGGCAUUGAUCAUGUACUUGAAGAAACAAUCACGUAGGCCUGCCAUGAAGGUUUUGAGGGCAGUCUUGUGAAGGAAAUUUUGUGAAAAACAUGUUCAUUUGAGCAACAUCUAUAGCAUGCAAUUAACAAAUUAAAGCCGGAAUCAUGCUUGCAUGCACUCAAAACAAAACAUUACCCAUUAAAUUCAAAGCCUAGUAGUUAGGUGAACCAAGACUCAACUCAAAACAAAGUAAGUUGAGAAAUUAUACCUUUGUUGAUUCCUCUUUGCAUAAGCAAAGGAUAAUCACCCAAGAGAUAGGGCCUUCAUUCCUUGGUUCUUAGAUCCAUGGAUUUGGAUGGAAGAAUAGGUUUCUCCAAGUUCUCAAAAUUGAGAACCUCUAAGUCUCCACACCAAGAGGAAGUAAGAUUACUAGCUAUUUUCCUCUAGGGUGGCCGGCCUCUUUAGAGAGAAAAAAGAGUUUGUGUUCUCAUCUUUUCUCCAAAAGAAACCCUAAAUGAAUUUUGGCUAUAAAGUCAUAUUUAUACCUUCAUUCAUUGGAGUGGCAAACUUGUAAUUAAGUCCAAAACCCACUCCUUUAUCAAUAUGGCCGGCCAUAGGGUUUCAUUGGGCUUUUUAGGCCUUUGUGAAUUAUUUUUCAUUAAGUUGUCAUACAACUUAAGUCAAUGGGCUUGACGUUCGAAGCCCAUUGGGCCUUGAGGCCCAAAACUAACCCGUGGUCUUUUAACGAACUUUAUUCGUUUGAUUAAUUAACAUAUUAAUUAAUCCUUGCCAUAAAUAAAUAAUUAAACCAUUUAAUUAUCCUUACUUAUCUCCGUUGUUUCUUCAAUCUCUACCUUACACGGUGUACGAUCCAUUAGGUUCCUUUUAGCGAGGCAGUGGGGGAUUAGAACUCUUUCAAAUCGAUUGUGAAUUGAAACUUACUUUCAAUUCUCCCUUUAGUGAUUAUACA
rnacentral:lncRNA from 1 species